GUGGGGAAUAUUGCACAAUGGGCGAAAGCCUGAUGCAGCAACGCCGCGUGAGGGACGACGGCCUUCGGGUUGUAAACCUCUUUUAGUAGGGAAGAAGCGAAAGUGACGGUACCUGCAGAAAAAGCACCGGCUAACUACGUGCCAGCAGCCGCGGUAAUACGUAGGGUGCAAGCGUUAUCCGGAAUUAUUGGGCGUAAAGAGCUCGUAGGCGGUCUGUCGCGUCUGCUGUGAAAACUGGGGGCUCAACCUCCAGCAUGCAGUGGGUACGGGCAGACUAGAGUGCGGUAGGGGAGAUUGGAAUUCCUGGUGUAGCGGUGGAAUGCGCAGAUAUCAGGAGGAACACCGAUGGCGAAGGCAGAUCUCUGGGCCGUAACUGACGCUGAGGAGCGAAAGCGUGGGGAGCGAACAGGAUUAGAAACCCCGGUAGUCC
rnacentral:rRNA from 1 species